rnacentral:rRNA from 1 species
CAGCCGCCGCGGGAAUACGAAGGGGGCUAGCGUUGCUCGGAAUGACUGGGCGUAAAGGGCGCGUAGGCGGUUUUGACAGUCAGAUGUGAAAUUCCUGGGCUUAACCUGGGGGCUGCAUUUGAGACGUCAAGACUAGAGUGUGAGAGAGGAUUGUGGAAUUCCCAGUGUAGAGGUGAAAUUCGUAGAUAUUGGGAAGAACACCGGUGGCGAAGGCGGCAACCUGGCUCAUUACUGACGCUGAGGCGCGAAAGCGUGGGGAGCAAACAGGAUUAGAUACCCCGGUAGUCCCUGUCUCUUAUAC